CCUACGGGGAGCUGCAGUGAGGAAUAUUGGUCAAUGGGCGCGAGCCUGAACCAGCCAAGUCGCGUGAGGGAAGACGGCCCUACGGGUUGUAAACCUCUUUUGCCGGGGAGCAACGGGCGCCACGUGUGGCGCCACUGAGAGUACCCGGAGAAAAAGCAUCGGCUAACUCCGUGCCAGCAGCCGCGGUAAUACGGAGGAUGCGAGCGUUCUCCGAAUUUCUUGGGUUUAAAGGGUGCGUAGGCGGAGCGUUAAGUCAGUGGUCAAAUUGAGGGGCUCAACCCCUUCCCGCCAUUGAAACUGGGGAUCUUGAGUGGGAGAGAAGGAUGCGGAAUGCGUGGUGUAGCGGUGAAAUGCAUAGAUAUCACGCAGAACCCCGAUUGCGAAGGCAGCAUGCCGGCGUCCGACUGACGCUGAAGCACGAAAGCGUGGGGAUCGAACAGGAUUAGAUACCCGUGUAGUC
rnacentral:rRNA from 1 species